AGAUAAAUUUGGAUGGGGCUCAGAGCCAGAAAAAGAUUCUCCAGCAGGCAAGGGGUUACUAGAUCCCUGCCUGUUAGAUAGCUGAUUUGGGCAGGUGAGGUUGCAUAUUGGCUUCUGCUCUUCUCCCAAAGCUGAAGAAGCUAUCUGGUCAAACGGGGAGACACUCCCUUGAUUGUUACAGGCAAAGUUUCAUAGUUGUUUUCUCUAUUACCUGCCCAGCCUUGAAGAUCAGGGGGACAACAAAAAAAGUGACCUGGGAAAUGUGCCUGUGGGACACGGCAAGGAUGGAUACAAAAAAAUAAAUAAAAAUGGUUACUUACCUGCAGGGAAGACAAUGCCAGAGGAGAGAGUCCACGCGGUUCACAAGCUGCACCUUUAUUCAAUUAAAGCCGGUGGGUGAUGUCAUAACGAAUCACCAGCCAGCGGGAAUAAAGGCAGGCACCGGCGAAGAGGUACGGGGAGCGAGAGAGGUGGCAGAGGCUCCUCACACUGGUAGCGGGGUGUGCUGGCAUGAUCAAAGGCAACCUGGGCAGGGAGUGGCAGCAGAGUCCGGGAGCUCCCAGUGUCAGUGGAAACAAAGUCAAACCCUGGACAGCGGGGAGUGCUCGGGGUGACGAGCUCUGAACACCGCCAAGGGAGCGCAGUGUUGGAGGCACCGGUCAGCAGAGAGACAAAGACGGAGACCUGGGGAGAGAGGCUGUGACCAACCCUGGGGAUACAGAGGCUCACCUGCCUGGUCGCUCCCAGGUAUUGGGCUGUGGAGAUGGGCUGGGGAAUGAAAAAGGAAGGGAGAUGUCGAGGGAACGAAGUCUGGGAGAAUCUUGCCGGGUACAGGUAGGAGAGCUGAGGGGACCGGCCCAUAGGACCCUGGAUUUGCAGGGUUUUUAUUCCUUUUUUCUUUUCCUUUUUGUUGGCGUGAGGGCACCUGAACAGGCCUCAGGAGCAGACCUUGUCAGCAGCAGGGGACUCUAGACACAGGGGCUAAGCUAAUUUGCCAUCCCACUCACGGGAAGUGAGGGGACAAAGCAUACGGCCUUGAAGAGGUGACAAAACUUGGGAACAGCCACGCUGGAGGAACUGCCACCUUAAGACCUGGCGUCCCAUCGGAGUGCCUAAAACACCUGAUGGAGAUUAUGACUUUAUGACCUUAUCACCUUAAUCUGCAUACAAAUCCCUGUUCCAAAGAGCUCGCAACUCAAAGGCAUGAAAAUGCACAAAUGGUGAACAAACCCAAGAAGGUGAUAGAAGACAAUGAGACAAGACAAGAGGACAACAUUCAAUUCAUAGUUGCCAAGUAAGUGCCAAAUGAAACUGACUCUGAUACAAGGGAAUUCUGUUUUGCUUAUAAAAAUAAAUAAAAGCUGUCUUUGGUGUAUGUAGAGAAGUCUCUUGAAGGAAUAUUUGGGCAUAAAAUUUAUAUCUAUGGGCUUUGUUAUGCAUUAUACUUUAAGCUUCAGUCGCAUGCUUAGGCAAGCAGGGGGCUUGAGGAUUGAAAGGUAAGAAUCCCUCUUUCCCUCCUCUCCCAUCCCUCAACUUACCUGUCUGGGCAGCAGUGGUAGUAGCAGCUGGGCAGGCAGGUUCCCCUUCUCUGCCUGCUUCCCCAGGCUGGCACCAGCAACCACAUGCAAGCCAGGAGCUAUAAUGUGGGUAAGCAGAGAUCUGAGGUGGUGGAGGGAGCA